UCUUGUUCUCCAAGCCUGCCGCACCUGCCCAAGCACCCAUCAAUGAAUGGAAAACCAAACCAUCUCCUGAGUCUCUCAGAGGCCCAAGGUGUGUAGCAAGCUUUGACUCUGAGGGAGGGCACAGUGAUGAGCUCUCAUUCUCUGAAGGUGAUGUGAUCUGGCUCAAAGAGUAUGCCGGAGAGCAGUGGGCUCGUGGGGAGGUGAACAGCAAUGUUGGCAUUUUCCCUCUCCACUUUGUGGAAGUGGUCGAAGACCUUCCUCCAAUCCCUGUGCACAAAUCUGCUCCGAACAAGACUGCACGGCCUGGCUGCAUCUGAGGGUGUGGAGUGAGCUGUGGCACUGUAUGACUUCACAGCAGAAACCGAGGAUGACCUGCCCUUCCAGAAAGCAGGCAAGAUCCUGGUCAAGGCUCACAUAGAUGAUGAAUGGUGAAAUGGGAGGCUGAAUGGCAGAGAAGGCCUUUGUAGAGCUCAAAACAGGUGAGGUUAUAAAGUGACUGGUGCCCUCUGGUGGUCUCAGAAUGCUGUUGGGACACUUUCAGAAAUAUUUUAUGUAAAGAAUUAGCUUUGCAUGUUCAGAAUGGCAUACUACCCGCACUACUCCUGCCAUACGUGUCUACGACAAUACAGUAUGAGUUGUAUGCAAUUCCAAACUCAGCCAACGUCUUCUUAUCCCCCUGUGCAGGUGGGUGGAAGUGACACUAGAACAAUUAAGCAGAGGUAAACUCAGAGAAGCGGUGUUUUCUUAUUCGAGAGGAUCCCCCGAAGUGUCAAAUCUCUUUUGCUGACUAUUUAGAAUUUAAUUUGUAUAUGUCAAAUGUACUUAUAAAUGUAAUCUUCCUCAUUUUUAUUACAACUCAUAAAUAUCUACGUAUAAAAAAUAAAAGAUGCUGUCACAUAUUCUGUUGGAUGACUAUUUCAGUGUACAUUACACAUAAUUCAUGACCACAGAUGUGCACAGCUGUUGAACAUGGAAGAGCCCAACAUUUAGUUUAACUGUUAAGUAUACCUUUAAACCCAACUUGUCCCAUUUCACAACCAAACUGGCUAACAAGUCAUUAUUAAUCCAUGCUUUCAAUGCAUUAUCGCAGCCUUAUAGCUGAAUUUGUUUGUCAUGUGUAUCGACUUGUGACUGGAGUUAAUUCAGUGUAAAAUGUUAUUGGCAGAGCUUUAUCAUGACAACAGCUUGCUGCAAUUUCAUCCAGAGGAGCAACUGCCCCUCCCCAAAUUUCUCAGAUUAGUGGCUGAAUGUUACAGAGUUUCUCAGUGCUUGAUUCUCAAAUCAUGUUUGGUCCCCCCACCCCAAUCCUUAAGUAGUUACAUACUUGAUUUCAUCUCAUAAGUGAGCAAUUAAGAGCAAGACCAUAGACUCAAAAGACUGACAUGUGCAUAUGUGCAGCCAGUCUUGAAUUUCAAAACAAUCAGGCUUCAAAGCUUCACUGC